rnacentral:rRNA from 1 species
UACGUAGGGGGCAAGCGUUGUCCGGAUUUAUUGGGCGUAAAGAGCUCGUAGGCGGUCUGUCGCGUCUGCUGUGAAAACCUAGGGCUUAACUCUGGGCGUGCAGUGGGUACGGGCAGGCUAGAGUGCGGUAGGGGAGACUGGAAUUCCUGGUGUAGCGGUGAAAUGCGCAGAUAUCAGGAGGAACACCGGUGGCGAAGGCGGGUCUCUGGGCCGUAACUGACGCUGAGGAGCGAAAGCAUGGGGAGCGAACAGG